rnacentral:rRNA from 1 species
UACGUAGGGUCCGAGCGUUGUCCGGAAUUACUGGGCGUAAAGAGCUCGUAGGUGGUUUGUCGCGUUGUUCGUGAAAACUCACAGCUCAACUGUGGGCGUGCGGGCGAUACGGGCAGACUUGAGUACUGCAGGGGAGACUGGAAUUCCUGGUGUAGCGGUGGAAUGCGCAGAUAUCAGGAGGAACACCGGUGGCGAAGGCGGGUCUCUGGGCAGUAACUGACGCUGAGACACGAAAGCGUGGGGAGCAAACAGG